CGGUUGGGGUGGGCGAGGACUUGACUUUUCCAGGCCACCUCAGGCCCCGUCUUCAGCCGCCCGGCAGACGGGCCUCUAGGUCGCCUGGCCUGCGUUCCCCGGGGCCGGGGCUGCUCAUG
ensembl:miRNA